UGCCCCCGGGCCACCACCGCCCGCCAGGAGGGGGAAUUCCUCCGGGCUGCAGCCGUUGCAGCCGCCGCCGCUGGGGGAAACCCCCGCUCCCGCGACAUCCCCGCCUCCUCUGCUGUCGCCUCCUCUUCCUUUUUCGCGGCAUCGGCUGCCCUGGAAGCACAUUCAAGUGGCCGGAGAAAAAGAGCCGGAGCCGGCGGCUAGGUUCCCUGCACUCCUUAUCCAAAGAACUAGCUGGACCGGAGAUACCAUAGAGUAUUAACGAAAGGUCUCAAUUUGUGUUUUAUUCCCCAAGAAAGAUGGAAACCUGGCACAGGGAGAAACACAGGCAAGGAAGAAUAGGCUGAGUCGUAUCAAGUUACCUCUGACUUGAGAAAAGCCAAGAAAAUGAAUCCAUUAGAAGGGACUUAAAAGACACUCAGGCUUAAGGAACUUUGUUGAGAUAAAAGGCAGAGAAAUUCCCAUUGCAUUUAUUCUGCUUAGCUUAUGUAAGCCAAUACAUCAUAUCAACCCUCUUUCAAAGUAUGUUGAUAUUUCUUUGCUUUGAUCAGUGAUCAAAACCUUCUGAGUAUUUCUAAACUGCCAGAAUGGCCAGGGACCAUAUCUUACAUUUCUAUAUAAAGGCAAUAAUAAUUGUUUGUUCAAUGCCUACCAUGUAACCAGGUUACUUAAAAAUGGUAAUGAUCGUCUCUGAACUUGGGGUGGAAUACAUCUAAUAAGAGCCAGUAAAAAAGGUAGUUGCAUGGAAUCUUAUGAAUCUAACCUAACGCACUUUAAAUUGAAAAGAUAUAUGGAAGAAGAAAACUACCCACAUAUAUGCACAAGCUUUGUACUGGAGAGCGUAACAGGUACAAAGUAGGAGAAAAAAGCAGGACCAGUGCUUUCUGAAAGAUAAGAUACAAAGAAGUGAGUCAACAAUAAAACAUAUAGCCUUAGAUAUCUACAAAUGCACAAAGUAUGGGUAAAAAAUAUUGGGAGGGAAGAAACAAAUGCAAAGAGGCAUAUUUGCCUUCCUAGGUAUUACUAAGCCUUGGAGUAAUGAGGCUUAAUUCAACUCAACAUUUAUAAAGUGCUUCCAUAUACAAAAUGUGAGGUAGGAUGGUAGAGUAAACAGAGGUCUGGCCUUACUAUAUGAUAGACCUAGGCUCAAGUUCUGAUUUAUACUAGCUAUGUGACCAUGGGCAAGUAAUUUAACUCUUCAGGGUCCAAGGACAAGCCAAUAAGAUGAUAUGCUGAUCUGCAUCAUUGAAAGGAGUUUCUACACUUGGAGUUCUUUCUUACUACCAAAAUCCCAAGACUGGACCCCAAGAUAUGUGCAAGAUACUAUUUUAGGCAAUAAGGAUACAAUAAAAAAAAAAAAAGAAGGAAGGAGGAGAGAAAGAAAGAAAGAAAAAGAAAGGA